UUGCUACUGAUCUUAGCGGCGGACGGGUGAGUAAUGCUUAGGAAUCUGCCUAUUAGUGGGGGACAACAUUUCGAAAGGAAUGCUAAUACCGCAUACGUCCUACGGGAGAAAGCAGGGGAUCUUCGGACCUUGCGCUAAUAGAUGAGCCUAAGUCGGAUUAGCUAGUUGGUGGGGUAAAGGCCUACCAAGGCGACGAUCUGUAGCGGGUCUGAGAGGAUGAUCCGCCACACUGGGACUGAGACACGGCCCAGACUCCUACGGGAGGCAGCAGUGGGGAAUAUUGGACAAUGGGCGCAAGCCUGAUCCAGCCAUGCCGCGUGUGUGAAGAAGGCCUUAUGGUUGUAAAGCACUUUAAGCGAGGAGGAGGCUACUUUAGUUAAUACCUAGAGAUAGUGGACGUUACUCGCAGAAUAAGCACCGGCUAACUCUGUGCCAGCAGCCGCGGUAAUACAGAGGGUGCAAGCGUUAAUCGGAUUUACUGGGCGUAAAGCGCGCGUAGGCGGCUAAUUAAGUCAAAUGUGAAAUCCCCGAGCUUAACUUGGGAAUUGCAUUCGAUACUGGUUAGCUAGAGUG
rnacentral:rRNA from 1 species